UCUGCUCUUAGAGCAUUUAUAGCCUUGUGAAUUUAACACUUCAUGACUGAGAGCUGUUCUUCAUGACAACAGAGCCCACAACAACCAUGACUUUUAUCACCAUCUUCAUCUGGACACUUGUCUUCUACAUCAAAGAAUCCAGAGGACAGAUCACUGUGACCCAGACUCCUGCAGUGAAAACUGUUCUCCCAGGACAGAUAGUCUCUCUGAACUGUAAAGCCAGCAGUAAUGUGCAUAGUAAUUGUUACAAUGGUCAGUCAUGGGGCCAGCAGUGUCUAUCCUGGUACCAACAGAAACCAGGAGAAAAACUCAAACUAAUGAUGCUCCCAGGGAACAAACUCCAUUCUGGGACUCCAUCUAGAUUCAGUGGCGGUGGAUCUGGGAGUGACUUCACUCUGACCAUCAGUGAAGUCCAGGCUGAAGAUGCAGGAGAUUACUACUGUCAGAGUUACCACAGUGGUAAUGUGUUCACACAGUGAUACAGAGCCGUACAAAAACCUCCCUCAGUCAGACUGCACAGUGACUGUACUGCUACAGCUGGGACCUACUGCAGGUACUGAGGGGGAAGAGACAGUGACAUGGAACACUGAUCAGUAGAGGAGGUCAACUUAGAAUAUGUUGAGAAAGAAUCAUUCAGAUCACAUGUUCCCCAUCAUCAUCGUUAUCAAGGUUGUGACUAGUUAUGUUUGUCAUGACCUGAAAGUUCACUUAUAAAGUUAGAUGUUUUGAAA